rnacentral:lncRNA from 1 species
CACCUUUAAAAAUAACAAGUGAUCCUUUUAUCACUUUCAAGAAGCCAUCUCCUAUUUUUCCUUGCAAUCCCAUAUCAUCUAGAUUUCCCAUGGAAAUCAGAUUCCUAUUCAAUUCAGGAACAUAUCUCACCCUUUCAAGAGUGUAAAUGUAUCUAUUAUCAAAUUUCAAAGUGACAUUCCCAACUCCCUCAACUCUGCAGGCUACAUUAUUGCCCAUAACUACUUCUCCUCCAUCAAUUUUCUUAAAAUUGUCUAAAUAUGCCCUUUUAAAGGUCAUAUGGAAGGUACAACCAGAAUCCAAGAUCCAUUCUUGGUUCUGAUUCUCAUCAACAACAUUUGCAGAACUAGGUAAAUUUUCAGUCACAGCAUAUACAUCAACUGUGGCAGAACCUUCAGAUUCUACCACAUUACCUUCAUCAACACCCUUUUGUUUCUGUUCAUUUUUCUUCUUAUAACAGUUUUUAAUAAAAUGUCCAGAUUUUCCACACCCAUAACACUUUUUAGUCCUAGUCCUUGACUUAGACCUGCCUCUACUUUUAAACUUUCUCCUACUGUUAUUUCCCUGAUUAUUAUGGCUUUCCUGAGUACCACUAGACCUACUUAAAGUCCUCCCUCUAGCAAACAAGUUUUCAUGGCCACUAUUACCUCUCUCAGACUUAAGUUCAAGUUCCUUACUCCUUAAAGAGU